CGCUGGGGGGGCAUAGGGGAGCUGAUGGGGGGCUGCCAGCUGUGGACAAAGCGGGCAGCCAAAUGACGUUAUAGCGAAGCACUGCACAACUUUAAAUGGAGCAUGUUAUGUAACUGAGCAGGGACGUAAGAUUGAAACAACGUUAAGUGAGAGGAUGUUAAGUGGCGAGUUACUGUAUCACAAAAAUUCUGGA